ensembl:snRNA U1 U1 spliceosomal RNA
AAACUAACCCAAGAGGGGAGAUGCUGUGAUCAUGAAGGUAUUUUUUCCGGGAUGAGGCUGUCCAUUACACCCUGCAUUUGCUGUCCUGUUUGCUGUCCCCAAAUUUGGGGUAUUGCAUAAUUAGUGAUAGUGGGGGACUGUUCCCACUUUCCCCCU